ensembl:lncRNA
AUGAAUUCCCGUCCUCCUGCCCGCGGCGCUGCGCGUGGCCUCGAUACCGCGCGUGUCCGUGCAGUGUCCGUGCAGUGUCCCUGCCGUGUCCGUGCCGUGUCCCUGCCGUGUCCGUACCGUGUUCCUGCCGUGUCCGUGCCGUGUCCGUGCAGUGUCCGUGCCGUGUCCGUGCCGUGUUCCUGCCGUGUCCCUGCCGUGUUCCUGCCGUGUCCCUGCCGUGUCCCUGCCGUGUCCGUGCUGUGUCCGUGCCGUGUCCGUGCAGUGUCCGUGCAGUGUCCCUGCCGUGUCCGUACCGUGUUCCUGCCGUGUCCGUGCCGUGUUCCUGCCGUGUCCCUGCCGUGUCCGUGCAGUGUCCGUGCAGUGUCCCUGCCGUGUCCGUGCCGUGUCCGUGCAGUGUCCGUGCAGUGUCCGUACCGUGUUCCUGCCGUGUCCGUACCGUGUUCCUGCCGUGUCCGUGCCGUGUCCCUGCCGUGUCCCUGCCGUGUCCGUGCCGUGUCCGUGCAGUGUCCCUGCCGUGUCCGUGCCGUGUCCGUGCAGUGUCCGUGCAGUGUCCCUGCCGUGUCCGUGCAGUGUCCGUGCCGUGUCCCUGCCGUGUCCCUGCCGUGUCCCUGCCGUGUCCGUGCAGUGUCCGUGCAGUGUCCCUGCCGUGUCCGUGCCGUGUCCGUGCCGUGUCCGUACCAUGUUCCUGCCGUGUCCCUGCCGUGUCCGUACAGUGUCCCUGCCGUGUCCGUGCCGUGUCCGUGCAGUGUCCCUGCCGUGUCCGUACCGUGUUCCUGCCGUGUCCGUGCCGUGUCCCUGCCGUGUCCCUGCCGUGUCCGUGCAGUGUCCGUACCGUGUUCCUGCCGUGUCCGUACAGUGUCCGUGCCGUGUCCGUGCCGUGUCCGUGCAGUGUCCGUACCGUGUUCCUGCCGUGUCCGUGCAGUGUCCGUGCAGUGUCCGUGCAGUGUCCCUGCCGUGUCCGUGCCGUGUCCCUGCCGUGUCCGUACCGUGUUCCUGCCGUGUCCGUGCCGUGUCCGUGCAGUGUCCGUACCGUGUUCCUGCCGUGUCCGUGCCGUGUCCGUGCAGUGUCCCUGCCGUGUCCGUGCCGUGUCCCUGCCGUGUCCGUGCCGUGUCCGUGCCGUGUCCGUGCCGUGUCCGUGCAGUGUCCCUGCCGUGUCCGUGCAGUGUCCCUGCCGUGUCCGUGCCGUGUCCGUGCAGUGUCCGUGCAGUGUCCCUGCCGUGUCCCUGCCGUGUCCGUGCCGUGUCCGUGCAGUGUCCCUGCCGUGUCCCUGCCGUGUCCGUGCAGUGUCCGUGCAGUGUCCGUGCAGUGUCCCUGCCGUGUUCCUGCCGUGUCCGUGCAGUGUCCGUGCAGUGUCCGUGCCGUGUCCGUGCCGUGUCCGUGCCGUGUCCGUGCAGUGUCUGUGCAGUGUCCCUGCCGUGUCCGUGCCGUGUCCGUGCAGUGUCCGUGCAGUGUCCGUGCCGUGUCCCUGCCGUGUCCCUGCCGUGUCCGUGCAGUGUCCGUGCAGUGUCCGUGCAGUGUCCCUGCCGUGUCCCUGCCGUGUCCGUGCAGUGUCCGUGCAGUGUCCCUGCCGUGUCCGUACCGUGUUCCUGCCGUGUCCGUGCCGUGUCCCUGCCGUGUCCGUACCGUGUUCCUGCCGUGUCCGUACCAUGUUCCUGCCGUGUCCGUGCCGUGUCCCUGCCGUGUCCCUGCCGUGUCCGUACAGUGUCCGUGCAGUGUCCGUGCAGUGUCCGUGCCGUGUCCCUGCCGUGUCCGUACAGUGUCCGUGCCGUGUCCGUGCCGUGUCCGUGCCGUGUUCCUGCCGUGUCCGUGCCGUGUCCGUGCAGUGUCCGUGCAGUGUCCGUGCAGUGUCCGUGCAGUGUCCGUACCGUGUUCCUGCCGUGUCCGUACAGUGUCCGUGCCGUGUCCGUGCCGUGUCCGUGCAGUGUCCGUACCGUGUUCCUGCCGUGUCCGUGCCGUGUCCGUGCAGUGUCCGUGCAGUGUCCCUGCCGUGUCCGUGCCGUGUCCGUGCCGUGUCCGUGCAGUGUCCCUGCCGUGUCCCUGCCGUGUCCGUGCCGUGUCCCUGCCGUGUCCGUGCCGUGUCCGUGCAGUGUCCCUGCCGUGUCCGUGCAGUGUCCGUGCCGUGUCCGUGCAGUGUCCGUGCAGUGUCCCUGCCGUGUCCGUGCAGUGUCCGUGCAGUGUCCCUGCCGUGUUCCUGCUGUGUCCGUGCUGUGUCCGUGCAGUGUCCGUGCCGUGUCCGUGCAGUGUCCGUGCCGUGUCCCUGCCGUGUCCGUGCCGUGUCCGUGCAGUGUCCGUGCCGUGUCCGUGCAGUGUCCCUGCCGUGUCCGUGCCGUGUCUGUGCAGUGUCCCUGCCGUGUCCCUGCCGUGUCCGUGCCGUGUCCGUGCAGUGUCCCUGCCGUGUCCCUGCCGUGUCCGUGCCGUGUCCGUGCAGUGUCCGUGCAGUGUCCCUGCCGUGUCCGUGCCGUGUUCCUGCCGUGUCCCAGCACCGCGCAGCCCGUGCUAACGCAGGUGACACCGGCGCCUGUGUCCCCCGACAGCAGCACGGGCACUGUGCAGCGUGGGCAUCGCGGUACGGGGAGGAGGAAGGCUGCGCCAGGCCCCAAAGAGGACAGGGAAUACCUGCUGUCCCUCCUGCCACACACCCUGUGCUCCAUCGUUGUCAGCCUCCCACCUCCCCGCCGCAGCUGGGGCGAAUCCCCCCUGAGACGUCUCCCAGCGCUGAGCAGCCCCUGGGAACAUCCCAUCGGAGCCUGCAGCUCCAGUUCACAGAUCUAAAUAAUCAUGCUACAGUCCUUGAACCGCAGCUGUGUGGAUCUGAGCCUCCAGCACCUCUGGGAGAGACCAUCCAUCUCGGCUCUUCCUGCUUGAAGGGUGACAGCCCAGCUGCAGCAACCUCUGAGCUAGGUCACCUGCACUGCCAUCACCUUCCCUGGACAAUGGGCUCUCCACACCACCCACGGGUCCCAGGAACACGAUUAUUCCUAUGCAAAUAG